rnacentral:rRNA from 1 species
AGUGAACGCUGGCGGUAGGCCUAACACAUGCAAGUCGAACGGCAGCACAGUAGGAGCUUGCUCUUACGGGUGGCGAGUGGCGGACGGGUGAGGAAUACAUCGGAAUCUACUUUUUCGUGGGGGAUAACGUAGGGAAACUUACGCUAAUACCGCAUACGACCUACGGGUGAAAGCAGGGGAUCUUCGGACCUUGCGCGAUUGAAUGAGCCGAUGUCGGAUUAGCUAGUUGGCGGGGUAAAGGCCCACCAAGGCGACGAUCCGUAGCUGGUCUGGGAGGAUGAUCAGCCACACUGGAACUGAGACACGGUCCAGACUCCUACGGGAGGCAGCAGUGGGGAAUAUUGGACAAUGGGCGCAAGCCUGAUCCAGCCAUACCGCGUGGGUGAAGAAGGCCUUCGGGUUGUAAAGCCCUUUUGUUGGGAAAGAAAAGCAGCAGGUUAAUACCCCGCUGUUCUGACGGUACCCAAAGAAUAAGCACCGGCUAACUUCGUG